GUGGUAAGAGGUACUCUGGUAGCCAGGGUGACUUGCCCAUGGAACCGCCGGAUGCCGCUCUCUGUGGCAGAGAGCUCGGCUGCUAGGCGAGUUUCACAGGCAAAUCAUCCUUGGCUAUCGAAGAUGGCCUCUUACAC
rfam:Triticum urartu cultivar G1812 contig642167, whole genome shotgun sequence.